UUCGCAAUGCCCGAAAGGGUGACGAAGCGACGCCGCGUGGGUGAGGAAGGCCUUCGGGUUGUAAAACCCUGUCAGGAGUUAUGAAAUGUGAGUGCGCUAAUAUCGUGCUUAUUUGACAAAGGCUCCAAAGGAAGCCACGGCUAACUCUGUGCCAGCAGCCGCGGUAAUACAGAGGUGGCGAGCGUUGUUCGGAAUUAUUGGGCGUAAAGAGCACGUAGGUGGUUUUGUAAGUCAGGUGUGAAAGCCUUCUGUUCAAAGGAAGAACGGCAUCUGAAACUGCAGAUCUUGAGUGUAGGAGGGGAGAGUGGAACUUCUGGUGGAGCGGUGAAAUGCGUAGAUAUCAGAAGGAACGUCGGCGGCGAAAGCGACUCUCUGGCCUAUUACUGACACUGAGGUGCGAAAGUUAGGGGAGCAAACGGGAUUAGAUACCCCGGUAGUCCUAACCGUAAACGAUGGGCACUAAGUAGAGGGGUUUU
rnacentral:rRNA from 2 species